GAUGAACGCUGGCGGCGUGCCUAAUACAUGCAAGUCGAGCGAACAGACGAGGAGCUUGCUCCUCUGACGUUAGCGGCGGACGGGUGAGUAACACGUGGAUAACCUACCUAUAAGACUGGGAUAACUUCGGGAAACCGGAGCUCAUACCGGAUAAUAUAUUGAACCGCAUGGUUCAAUAGUGAAAGACGGUUUUGCUGUCACUUAUACAUGGAUCCGCGCCGCAUUAGCUAGUUGGUAAGGUAACGGCUUACCAAGGCAACGAUGCGUAGCCGACCUGAGAGGGUGAUCGGCCACACUGGAACUGAGACACGGUCCAGACUCCUACGGGAGGCAGCAGUAGGGAAUCUUCCGCAAUGGGCGAAAGCCUGACGGAGCAACGCCGCGUGAGUGAUGAAGGUCUUCGGAUCGUAAAGCUCUGUUAUUAGGGAAGAACAAAUGUGUAAGUAACUAUGCACGUCUUGACGGUACCUAAUCAGUAAGCCACGGCUAACUACGUG
rnacentral:rRNA from 1 species